rnacentral:rRNA from 1 species
AGGACGAACGCUGGCGGCGUGCUUAACGCAUGCAAGUCGAACGGGAUCCAACCAGUGGCAACACUGGGGAAGAUCUAGUGGCGAACGGGUGAGUAACACGUGAGAAACCUGCCCUGAAGAUCGGGAUAAGCCGGGGAAACCUGGUCUAAUACCGAAUACCUUCGUACUGUCGCAUGGCAGAACGAAGAAAUGGAUUCCGCUUCAGGAGGGUCUCGCGGCCUAUCAGCUUGUUGGUGGGUAACGGCUACCAAGGCUCCGACGGGUAGCUGGUCUGAGAGGACGAUCAGCCACACUGGGACUGAGACACGGCCCAGACUCCUACGGGAGGCAGCAGUGGGGAAUCUUGCGCAAUGGGCGAAAGCCUGACGCAGCAACGCCGCGUGGGGGAUGGAAGGCCUUCGGUUGUAAACCCCUUUCAGCAGGAACGAAUCUGACGGUACUGCAGAAGAAGGUCCGGCCAACGUACGUGCCAGCAGCCGC